rnacentral:lncRNA from 1 species
CCUUUCUCCAAACAACGUUGCCACACGCGGAGAGCACGGAGAUUUCUGGGGCUUUGGAGGGAAUCGUGAGCGGGCGGGAGGAGGCCGGGGACCACACAGAGAAUAACUUGUCUGACUACCAGUAUUCUUGGAUGCAGAAGUGCUGAAGAUGAGCACACACACGUACGGAGAAUUUCUGGAGAAUUCAGCUGCUCAGAACAAGAACUGAGAUCCAGAGAGAUGAUGACUUUGCCCAUAGACCAAACAAAGAAAUACAUGUUUCAGUCCUGUGUCCUCCUGCUAUGUGUGUCCGGAAUUGGUGGGUUCUUGGUCUCACUGACUUCAAGAAUGAAGCUGCGGACCCUCGCGGACCGUGUGUGAAUGCCUGCUCUGUGAGCCCUCAGAAUCUACUGGCUGAAUGAGUGCGUGGAGGAAAUGUGCUCAGAGCUGCUGUGUGUCAUCCUGUGUUUGAAGUGCUCCUGCAGCUAUCAUUCAUCCAGUUAAGAAUUUGAAGAAGUGUGUGCACAAAGACGGAGUCUCACUCUGUUGCCCAGGCUGGAGUGCAGUGGCACAAUCUCGGCUCACUGCAACCUCUACCUCCUGGAUUCAAGCGGUUUUCCUGCCUCAGCCUCCAGAGUAACAGGGAUUACAGGCAUACUCCACCUUGCCCUGCUGAUUUUGUAUUUUUAGUAGAGACAAGAGUUUCACCAUGUUGGCCAGGCUGGUCUUGAACUCCUGACCUCAAGUGAUCCACUGCCUCAGCCUCCCAAAGUGCUGGGAUUAUAGGCGUGAGCCACUGCGCCUGGCCAAAUGCUCUACUUUUUAAUCAAUGUUUUCCAAAAUAGGGAUUUUUGCUAUGUGCUUUAGAAAUUAGAGAACAAACGGUGAUAAUAUAUGCUAAACUUAAAAUUAGUAUGCCUCCUUUUAUAGACAACAAGAACUUUGUCACUUCCCAGUUUGUCUUGUCAUUCAGGAGGCUCAGAGCUACGAUCUGUGCCCACUCGUGCUGCCUCUUCUUAACUUUGAUUUCCUGAAGCAGCGAUUUCAUCUCCGUUUCCCCUCAUCACCUGUUCUUUUAACUGUUUAAAAACAGCAUUACAUGUUGUUGCAAGUGGCCUCAAAUUCUUUUUGGUAGAAGGGAAAUUGUAAUCCAUGAGAAGAAAAAAAUUUUCCUAACUAUUCUCAGGUGUGUUUAAGGGCUGCAUUCCAUGAUGCUAUCAGUGCCUUCUUUCAGCUCACAGGAUAUCGGCCAUGUUAAUGAGUCUGAUGUUGCUAGUAUCACAGGCACCGGAAAAUAUGCACAUUAUGCUGGAGCAUUAGAAUGCAACAGAAAGAGCCCUGGGCUUGGAGUAUGCAGAACUGGUUCUUGUUACAACUCCUCUUACUAGUGGGCUCUGGAAGAAAACACAUUGAAUUCAUGAUCAUGGUUAACCUUUGGAGAGAGAGAGGAGACCAGGAUGAAGGAGCCAGUCGAAGAUCCUGUUCAAGUGUACACUGAGCCAGCAGGUUCACCAGAAAGCUAUUGAGCGUUUGCUGGAACACAUUAUGCAGGGUGAAUUUCUUCUGGAAUGUUGCCAAGGAUUUUUUAUGCUUCUGUGGCAGGCAUUUCUUGAACAUUGUCAUUUAGCCAAGCAAAGAAGAUUUUCUUAAAGGAUAGAAAAUGUUUAAAAAUUUUUGUUUGUUUGAAGAUAGGUUAAAUGGCUAUAUGAUCUCAGGAUAAGACAGAGAAAAUCACUUAUUUCUCUAAGUGAUCUGAUUAGGUUAGUGAUGUUUUGCCUUUAAACAGAUUCAUCAUUAUUCCUAAAGUAUUGCUGUAUUAAUACUGUCUUCUAGAAAGUAUCCACCAGUGCCUACUUUUCUUCGAUAUCAUUAGCUGUUUUUCGAAACUGAAUUUGCUCUUCAGAGAUUUCUCAUAUGUUUGCGUAUAAGGAACUACUGGUAAUAGCCAAGAAAAUUUGGAGGUGCAGAGAACAUGCUGAAACAGAAUUUUUCACUUUCAAUUCUAGAACUAUGCCAUAAAAAAAAAGGAAAAUGUAAAAAUGUCUUUAUAUUAGAGCAGAUAUUUUAAAAGUAUUGCAAAUUCAAUGAUAAAUUCUAAGGUUAAAAUUGGACACAUAAAAAAUACAAUAUAUAAAUAUCUCCCCAGAAAUUAUUAUCUAAUGAAUAGUAAAAGCUGACUACAAACCAUGUCAUUUUAACAAGGGUUUAAAUAGUACCAAGAUUCUCAUCAUAUGCUCUGGGAUACCCAGUGAUGUACAAGGGUUCUCUCUAAACAUGGGGAGGAAAAAUUUCAAAUAUAAAGAUUUGAAUCUUGUCUUUGCCAUUCACUAGCUGUGUGAUCUUGGGUAAGUUACCUGGUUUCUCUGAGCUUCAGUGUCAUCUGUAAAACAGGAAUAAUAAUACCUAGCUCAGAGGCGGGUGUGGUGGCUCACGCCUGUAAUCCCAGCACUUUGGGAGGCCAAGGCAGGUGGAUCACUAGGUCAGGAGUUUGAGACCAGCCUGGCCAAGAUGGUGAAAUCCUGUCUCUACUUAAAAAAAAAAAAAAAUAGCCAGGCAUGGUGGCAGGCACCUGUGAUCCCAGCUACUCAGGAGGCUGAGGCAGGAGAAUCGCUUGAACCCGGGAGGCGGAGGUUGCAGUCAGCUGAGAUCUCGCCACUGCACUCCAGCCUGGGCAAUAGAGUGAGACUCCGCCUCAAAUAAAUAGGUAAAUAAAUAAAUAAAUAAAUAAAAGUAAAUAAAUAAAUAAAUAAAUAAUAAUACCUAGCUUAUGGGGCUGCUGUGGGUGUUUGUAAAGUAUCUCAAUGGUGCCUACAUAUUGUAAAGGCUUAUGAAUAUAUUAGUUCCUUUCUCAACUUCCUCAAUUCAUUCCACCACUACAAGUCAAUCUAGAGAUUAAAAUAGGCAAAACUGUGAUCUACGUUAGGAUGGGGUUGUUUGAGUGGUGGUUUAUUUCUGACUGCUUCAUUUUAUACUUGUAUUUUAAAUAUACAAGUUUUUGUAAACAUUCCUAAAACAAAACAGAUCUGUUUUUAUUUUGAAGAAGAUCGGACAGAUUCUGAUAUAAUGUUUGGAGAACUAAAUUAUACACAGAAUUUUGUCUCUGAAGAGUUAACUCUAUCAUGAAAAUGCACUCAGUGAAAAGCAAACAUCAUGCCACCUUUCCAUACACGGUAUUAUGUGUAUUUGAAUGAACGCAUAUGGAAAAACAUGGCAAUUCUUCUUUUAUGCCUAAAUCCUAUGGAAUUUGCCGGCUCCUGUAUUUAAGUCUGGGCUGUGAUGGUAAACUUGGUUCCUGUCAACUGAGUGUUGUUAUGUCUUUGGCACAUUCCCACAGCCGAACCUCCCGUCUGUAACCUGCACCUGCAGUUCACAGGAUUCAGCUCGGAGAGCUCUGUACUUCCGGGCCACUCAGGUACUUGUUAGUGCAGACUGUAAGUUUCUACCCCACAGUUUCUCCACCAGUUUAGAUACUGCAAACAUUUGGGUUUUGCAGUUUCUGCAAUUUUUGUUUGGGUUCUUUAAAAACAGCUCUUCCCCCACCCCUGGCACACCACCAUCUCUCCAAGGCACUCAUUGUGAGAUGGGAAGCCUGGCGCCUGUCGUUUGUAUUCCAGAUCGAAACUAGCAGAAUUGAGAUUUUCCUCCCUUUUUAGUGCCAUGACAAACAAAAGAGGAUAUGACAUGUAUUUAUUGUUUGGUAAAAUGCAGAAGUAUCAAUUCCAGGAGACGCUGCAAUUCCUUCAUCUUUGCCUUGAGUUGUUUAUGUGAACUAUGGCCCUGUUUGUAGGAGACAGAGAGAAAGUAUGAAUUUGGUGGGAAUGACGGGGGUUGGGGGGUGGGGGGUGGGGAGGAGGAGGUGGUGUGGGAAAACAACUCUCUCUUUUGCCAUGAGGAUCCAAUUCCUGGAAAGAGCACGGUUAAUGGCAAAUAAAAUUUCCUGGUCUUUGGGGCCAAGAUUUGUGUUGUGUGAGUGUGCUUUAUAAGCCUGUCACUGUUAGAUGCAGGCUUAUGCUUUUACGGCUGUCUUUAGCUUUAGCUUUUGUGGUUCUUCCGCCUGUACAGUAUGCUCUUCCAAGGCAACUGUGGCUCAUUGAGAGACCAGGCUAAAGCAGAAUAGAGCAGAUAAACAAAUUCAUAGGAGUCAAUAAUUUAAUUUUUUUAAUUUUUUUUUUUUUGAGAUGGGGCCUUGUUCUGUUGUGGAGGCGGGAGUACAGUGGCAUGAGCACGGUUCACUGCAGCCUUGACCUCUGGGCUCAAGCAAUCCUUACACCUCAGGACCCCACACUCAGCCCCCCGAGUAGUUGGGACUACAGUGGUUUGAGAUAUGUCUUCUUCGUGAUGCUUGUGUGAGAGUAAAGGAGGACUCCAAACAAACAAAUGCAGGAAAUGAAUGUGUAGAGGAAGAAGUCAGGUGAUGCUGGUGUCCUGGGGACCACUCCACGGAAGGAGAAGACACUGGGAAUAGAAGACCUUUGAAAAUCGUGAUGGGCUUAAAGAUCCCAGCGCAGGUCCCACCACUUAUUCGCUCUCACCUGGCAUCUCAAUCUCUGCAUCUGUAAAAAUGAAGAAAAUAAUCCAUCUCCCUGGAUGACUUCAUGAGAUUUUUUGUAGUCAUCAGUGAGGUACUGUACAUAGACGUGCUGUAAGGACGAAAAGUUCUUCACAAUAGGAUGCAUGGGAAAGCAAGCAGGGAGCAGUGGAGGAGGCUGAACCCAGAACGUGGGCUGAGGAUGCUGGGAGGGAACAGGGUUGGGGGCUGAAUCCUAACAGGAGGAAGCUACUGAGCUGCUUCUGUAAGUUGGGCCUGGAUGGAAACCCUGGAAGCAGUAACUCCAAGAAAGAUUCAAAAGUGGGACAAGAAGAGCAAGAACCAGGAAUGGAAAAACUCCAAGGAACAUGAGUGAAGAGCCUCGAAAAAACAGGACACUCACAGUUCAGGAAACUACCAAGGGUCCAAGGAGAGGCCUUGCUUGGCCGUGGUGUGGUCCUGCAACUCCAGGGCAGACCUAGACUCAUGGGAAAGUCCCUGCUUUGUGAUGAGGCUGAAAGAGGAUGAGUGGGGAGUGGCCGGAAGAAGAAAGGGUGUAACCAGAGACCAGUGUCAACAAGGAAUCUGGCUUGGAACGCUUUUGUCUGCAGCCCUCUUUGGAGCGUGACUUGCUCUUUCAGAGGUCUGUAUUUCUCUACCUGGACUACCCUGAGAGCUAACCCCAGUUAUUGGUCUGGAAGCAACGAAUGAAGGCCGGGGCAGAGCUUGAGGAGGGCAACAUCAUUUUGUCACAGUCGCCAUCAAGAAUCUAGUUGCAGACUGGGCGCUGUGGCUCACGCCUGUAAUCCCUGCACUUUGGGAGCCAAGGUGGGUGGAUCACUGGAGCCCAGGAGCUCAAGAGCAGCCUGGGCAACGUGGUGAAAGCCCAUUUCUACAAAAAAAUGCAAAAAUUAGCAGAGUGUGUUGGUGCAUGCCUGUGGUCUCAGCUACUCGGGAGGCUGAGAUGGGACGAUUGCUUGGGCCUGGGAGGUCAAGGCUGCAGUGAGCUGUGAUCACACCACUGCACUCCAGCCUGAGUGACACAGCAAGAACCUGUCUGAGAAAAAAAAAAUCUUGUUUCACCUAGAUCUGAAGAAGAAAACAGAAGCAACAUUCAAAUUAACAUCAGUCAACUGAUGGAAUAUUUUAGAUGAAGUAAGAGAAGCCAAGGCAUGUACCCUCAGGCUCUGGGCUUCUCCCUGCAAGGUUGGGAAGAAAUUUGGAGGAGGCAAAGUGGGAGCAAGUCAGAUGGAAGAGACAUUAUGGGUCAGGAAACCAGUUGCUAUGUCAUGAACUGCUCUAUGAAGAAGCCUGUUUGUCAAGGAUCUGAAGCCUCCUGCCAAUAGCUGCAUGAACGAGUUUGGAAGAUCCAGUUCUACCCUUCAGAUGACUGUAGCUUGACGUCAACCUCAUGAGAGACCCUGAGACAGAACCACAAAGCGAAGUCCCUCCUGGAUCCCUGAUGCUACACAACUAUGUAAUAAAUGUUUGCUGUUUUAACU